AGGAUUAACGCUGGCGGCGUGCAUGAAACAUGCAAGUCGAGCGCGGUGUGAUGCGGGGUAACCCAAUUCACAUCUAGCGGCGAACGGGUGAGUAACACGUGAGCAACCUACCUUUGAGUUGGGGAUAGCCCUGGGAAACCAGGAUUAAUACCCGAUGUGGUCACAACAGGACAUCCUGAUGUGAGUAAAGGCGCAAGCCGCUCAAUGACGGGCUCGCGGCCUAUUAGCUUGUUGGUGGGGUAACGGCCUACCAAGGCGAUGAUGGGUAGCUGGUCUGAGAGGACGAUCAGCCACACUGGGACUGAGACACGGCCCAGACUCCUACGGGAGGCAGCAGUUAGGAAUUUUCCGCAAUGGGCGAAAGCCUGACGGAGCAACGCCGCGUGAGCGAUGAAGAUCUUAGGAUUGUAAAGCUCUGUCGGAGGGAAGAACACAAUGACGGUACCCUCCAAGAAAGCCCGGCUAACUACGUGCCAGCAGCCG
rnacentral:rRNA from 1 species